rnacentral:rRNA from 1 species
CCUACGGGGGGCAGCAGUGGGGAAUAUUUCACAAUGGGGGAAACCCUGAUGCAGCGACGCCGCGUGAGCGAUGAAGUAUUUCGGUAUGUAAAGCUCUAUCAGCAGGGAAGAAAAUGACGGUACCUGACUAAGAAGCCCCGGCUAACUACGUGCCAGCAGCCGCGGUAAUACGUAGGGGGCAAGCGUUAUCCGGAUUUACUGGGUGUAAAGGGAGCGUAGACGGCGGUGCAAGUCAGAUGUGAAAGCCCGGGGCUCAACCCCGGGACUGCAUUUGGAACUGUGCUGCUAGAGUGUCGGAGAGGCAGGCGGAAUUCCUGGUGUAGCGGUGAAAUGCGUAGAUAUUAGGAGGAACACCAGUGGCGAAGGCGGGCUGCUGGACGAUGACUGACGUUGAGGCUCGAAGGCGUGGGGAGCGAACGGGAUUAGAUACCCGAGUAGUC